rnacentral:rRNA from 1 species
CAUGUCUUUUUGAUUAUAAUUUAAAGUCUAACCUGCCCUAUGAAUUUAAAAGUUUAAAUGGCUGCGGUAUUUUGACCGUGCAAAGGUAGCAUAAUAAUUAGUUUUUUGAUUGAGAACUGGUAUGAAAGGUUGGACGAAAAAAAAACUGUCUCAAUUUAAUUUAAAUUAAAAUUUUAUUUUUAAGUAAAAAAGCUUAAAUAAAUUUAAAAGACGAGAAGACCCUAUAGAGUUUUAUAAAUAUUUUUUUAUUUAAAAAUUAAAGUAUUAAAAAUUUAAGUAAUUAAAGUUUUAUUUAAUUGGGGUGAUUAAAAAAUUAAGCUAACUUUUUUUAUUUUAUAACAUUGAUAUAUGAUUAAAUGAUCCAUUUAUUAUGAUUAUAAGAUUAAAUUACCUUAGGGAUAACAGCGUAAUUUUUUUUAAGAGUUCUUAUCGAAAAAAAAGU